UAAGCAAUUAUACAGCGAAACUGCGAAUGGCUCAUUAUAUAAGUUAUCGUUUAUUUGAUAGUGCCUUACUACUUGGAUAACCGUGGUAAUUCUAGAGCUAAUACAUGCUAAAAAUCCCGACUCCGGAAGGGAUGUAUUUAUUAGAUUAAAAACCAAUGCCCUCUGGGCUCCCUGGUGAUUCAUGAUAACUUCUCGAAUCGCACGGCCUUGCGCCGGCGAUGGUUCAUUCAAAUUUCUUCCCUAUCAACUUUCGAUGUUUGGGUAGUGGCCAAACAUGGUGGCAACGGGUAACGGAGGGUUAGGGCUCGACCCCGGAGAAGGAGCCUGAGAAACGGCUACUACAUCCAAGGAAGGCAGCAGGCGCGCAAAUUACCCAAUCCCGACACGGGGAGGUAGUGACAAUAAAUACUGAUACAGGGCUCUUUUGGGUCUUGUAAUUGGAAUGAGUACAAUUUAAAUCCCUUAACGAGGAACAAUUGGAGGGCAAGUCUGGUGCCAGCAGCCGCGGUAAUUCCAGCUCCAAUAGCGUAUAUUAAAGUUGUUGUGGUUAAAAAGCUCGUAGUUGAACCUUGGGCCUGGCUGGCCGGUCCGCCUCACCGCGUGUACUGGUCCGGCCGGGCCUUUCCCUCUGUGGAACCCCAUGCCCUUCACUGGGUGUGGCGGGGAAACAGGACUUUUACUUUGAAAAAAUUAGAGUGCUCCAGGCAGGCCUAUGCUCGAAUACAUUAGCAUGGAAUAAUGAAAUAGGACGCGCGGUUCUAUUUUGUUGGUUUCUAGGACCGCCGUAAUGAUUAAUAGGGACAGUCGGGGGCAUCAGUAUUCAAUUGUCAGAGGUGAAAUUCUUGGAUUUAUUGAAGACUAACUACUGCGAAAGCAUUUGCCAAGGAUGUUUUCAUUAAUCAGGAACGAAAGUUAGGGGAUCGAAGACGAUCAGAUACCGUCGUAGUCUUAACCAUAAACUAUGCCGACUAGGGAUCGGACGAUGUUAUUUUUUGACUCGUUCGGCACCUUACGAGAAAUCAAAGUGC
rnacentral:rRNA from 1 species